rnacentral:tRNA from 1 species
GCCGGAGUGGUGAAACUGGCAGACGCGCCGGACUCAAAAUCCGGUGGAGUUAACGCUCCGUGUGGGUUCGAUUCCCACCUCCGGCACCA